UGAUAGCUGUGAAGCGUGAGGUUGCUGCCUUUACAUGGCAGGUUUUCCGUGGAGCGAAUGUCAAGUUAGGAAACUGACGACAA
rnacentral:ncRNA from 1 species